CAUGAAAGUGAAGCAGCUAAGUGGAAUUCAGCCAUCAUUAACUUUACUAUAUACACCUGUUCAUUUCCUAUUGUGACAUGUCAAAACUCUGUGAGAAAGGCCUAUGGAGAUAAUUAAAUCCAAUGACAUAAUCCCUGGCGGCCCACGGACUCAGGAGGAAGUGGUUCAGGAACAGUCUAAUCCAGCCAUCUCCGGAUAUGGGACACUCUCACCAUGCCGCUCCACUGGGCCUUUGUAUCAGCAGACCGAGGAGCAAAAAAUAGAGGACUUGUGAAACAUUAACCAGACGGAGGAGAAGUGACAAUGAUGAAAUGAGCCUGCAGGGAUGAUGCCGUUGUUAUCUAGCAAUGGGACGAUUGUUCCUGAGCCUGUAAAGUGCAGUGGAGUGAGCUGAGGGGUCACAGUGGACUUUCUGACAGGCUUUAUCUUCUGGAUGAGACAGGGGCUCAUUAUGCUGAUAUACAAGACCAUAUUAGACAAAUGUACGACUUUCAAACUAAAGAGACAAAAGUAAAUGCAUUGGAUUUUAUGCCUUUUCUGAACAAACAGGAUGUCACUUGCAGCAGUGAGACAGUUUAAUUCUUUAGGAGCAUCUGAGUUGACAAGAAAGGAUGUAUAGC